rnacentral:rRNA from 1 species
CAGCCGCCGCGGUAAUAUGGAGGGAGCUAGCGUUGUUCGGAAUUACUGGGCGUAAAGCGCGCGUAGGCGGUUACUCAAGUCAGAGGUGAAAGCCCGGGGCUCAACCCCGGAACUGCCUUUGAAACUAGGUGACUAGAAUCUUGGAGAGGUCAGUGGAAUUCCGAGUGUAGAGGUGAAAUUCGUAGAUAUUCGGAAGAACACCAGUGGCGAAGGCGACUGACUGGACAAGUAUUGACGCUGAGGUGCGAAAGCGUGGGGAGCAAACAGGAUCAGAUACCCCCGUAGUCCCUGUCUCUUAUAC